GACUCGUUAGCUCAAUUGGCAGAGCGCCGGUCUCCAAAACCGGAGGUUGGGGGUUCGAGGCCCUCACGGGUCGCCA
rnacentral:tRNA from 1 species